UACAGAGGGGGCAAGCGUUAUUCGGAAUUAUUGGGCGUAAAGGGCGCGUAGGCGGCCUGGCAAGUGACGGGUGAAAUCCCUCGGCUUAACCGAGGAACUGCCUGUCAGACUGCUUGGCUUGAGACCGGGAGAGGUGAGUGGAAUUCCCAGUGUAGCGGUGAAAUGCGUAGAUAUUGGGAGGAACACCAGUGGCGAAGGCGGCUCGCUGGACCGGUACUGACGCUGAGGCGCGAAAGCGUGGGGAGCAAACAGG
rnacentral:rRNA from 1 species